GACGCAGUAGGAUAGGCGAAGCGUGCUGUUGGAGUGCACGUCCAAGCAGUGAGAUUGAGUGUUAGGCAAAUCCGGCACUCUUAAGAUUGAGCUGUGAUGGGGAGAGGAACUUGUUCCUCGAGUCGUUGAUUUCACACUGCCGAGAAAAGCCUCUAGCUAGAAUAACGGUGCCCGUACCGCAAACCGACACAGGUAGUCAAGAUGAGAAUUCUAAGGUGAGCGAGCGAACUCUCGUUAAGGAACUCGGCAAAAUGACCCCGUAACUUCGGGAGAAGGGGUGCUCUUUGAGGUUCACGCUUCGAAGAGCCGCAGUGAAUAGGCCCAAGCGACUGUUUAUCAAAAACACAGGUCUCUGCUAAACCGUAAGGUGACGUAUAGGGGCUGACGCCUGCCCGGUGCUGGAAGGUUAAGAGGAGUGGUUAGCGCAAGCGAAGCUACGAAUCGAAGCCCCAGUAAACGGCGGCCGUAACUAUAACGGUCCUAAGGUAGCGAAAUUCCUUGUCGGGUAAGUUCCGACCCGCACGAAAGGCGUAACGAUUUGGGCACUGUCUCAACGAGAGACUCGGUGAAAUCAUAGUACCGGUGAAGAUGCCGGUUACCCGCGACAGGACGGAAAGACCCCGUGGAGCUUUACUGUAGCCUGAUAUUGAAAUUCGGUACAGUUUGUACAGGAUAGGUAGGAGCCUUAGAAGCGUGAGCGCUAGCUUACGUGGAGGCAUUGGUGGGAUACUACCCUAAUUGUAUUGGAUUUCUAACCCGCAGCACUUAUCGUGCUGGGAGACAGUGUCAGGCGGGCAGUUUGACUGGGGCGGUCGCCUCCUAAAGAGUAACGGAGGCGCUCAAAGGUUCCCUCAGAAUGGUUGGAAAUCAUUCAUAGAGUGUAAAGGCAUAAGGGAGCUUGACUGCGAGACCUACAAGUCGAGCAGGGUCGAAAGACGGACUUAGUGAUCCGGUGGUUCCGCAUGGAAGGGCCAUCGCUCAACGGAUAAAAGCUACCCCGGGGAUAACAGGCUUAUCUCCCCCAAGAGUUCACAUCGACGGGGAGGUUUGGCACCUCGAUGUCGGCUCAUCGCAUCCUGGGGCUGUAGUCGGUCCCAAGGGUUGGGCUGUUCGCCCAUUAAAGCGGUACGCGAGCUGGGUUCAGAACGUCGUGAGACAGUUCGGUCCCUAUCCGUCGUGGGCGUAGGAAAUUUGAGAGGAGCUGUCCUUAGUACGAGAGGACCGGGAUGGACAUACCUCUGGUGUACCAGUUGUCGUGCCAACGGCAUAGCUGGGUAGCUAUGUAUGGACGGGAUAAGUGCUGAAAGCAUCUAAGCAUGAAGCCCCCCUCGAGAUGAGAUUUCCCAACUUCGGUUAUAAGAUCCCUCAAAGAUGAUGAGGUGAAUAGGUUCGAGGUGGAAGCGUAGCGAUACGUGGAGCUGACGAAUACUA
rnacentral:rRNA from 1 species